GUAGGUGCAAGCGUUGUCCGGAAUUAUUGGGGCGUAAAGCGCGCGCAGGCGGUUCUUUAAGUCUGAUGUGAAAGCCCACGGGCUCAACCGUGGAGGGUCAUUGGAAACUGGAGAACUUGAGUACAGAAGAGGAAAGCGGAAUUCCACGUGUAGCGGUGAAAUGCGUAGAGAUGUGGAGGAACACCAGUGGCGAAGGCGGCUUUCUGGUCUGUAGCUGACGCUGAGGCGCGAAAGCGUGGGGAGCAAACAGGAUUAGAUACCCUGGUAGUCCACGCCGUAAACGAUGAGUGCUAAGUGUUAGGGGGUUUCCGCCCCUUAGUGCUGCAGCUAACGCAUUAAGCACUCCGCCUGGGGAGUACGGCCGCAAAGGCUG
rnacentral:rRNA from 1 species